rnacentral:rRNA from 1 species
AUUGAACGCUGGCGGCAUGCCUAACACAUGCAAGUCGAACGGCAGCACAGCCCGCAAGGGUGGGUGGCGAGUGGCGGACGGGUGAGGAAUACAUGGGAAUCUACCCUGUCGUGGGGGAUAACGUAGGGAAACUUACGCUAAUACCGCAUACGACCGAGAGGUGAAAGCGGCGGACCGCAAGGCGUCGCGCGGCUGGAUGAGCCCAUGUCGGAUUAGCUAGUUGGCGGGGUAAAGGCCCACCAAGGCGACGAUCCGUAGCUGGUCUGAGAGGAUGAUCAGCCACACUGGAACUGAGACACGGUCCAGACUCCUACGGGAGGCAGCAGUGGGGAAUAUUGGACAAUGGGCGCAAGCCUGAUCCAGCAAUGCCGCGUGGGUGAAGAAGGCCUUCGGGUUGUAAAGCCCUUUUGUACGGGAAGAAAUCCUGUCGGUUAAUACCCGGCGGGGAUGACGGUACCGUAAGAAUAAGCACCGGCUAACUUCGUGCCAGCCGCCGCAGUAACAC